rnacentral:rRNA from 1 species
GACUCUCGGCAACAGAUAUCUUGGCUCUCGCAUCGAUGAAGAACGUAGCGAAAUGCGAUACUUGGUGUGAAUUGCAGAAUCCCGUGAACCAUCGAGUCUUUGAACACAAGUUGCGCCCGAAGCCAUUAGGCCGAGGGCACGUCUGCCUGGGCAUCA